CUACGGGGGGCAGCAGUGAGGAAUAUUGCACAAUGGGGGGAACCCUGAUGCAGCAACGCCGCGUGGAGGAUGACGCAUUUCGGUGUGUAAACUCCUUUUAUAUGUCAAGAAAAUGACGGUAGCAUAUGAAUAAGCACCGGCUAACUCCGUGCCAGCAGCCGCGGUAAUACGGAGGGUGCAAGCGUUACUCGGAAUCACUGGGCGUAAAGGACGCGUAGGCGGGUUGGAAAGUCAGGUGUGAAAUCCUGCAGCUUAACUGUGGAACUGCACUUGAAACUUCUAAUCUAGAGUAUGGGAGGGGGAGAUGGAAUUAGUGGUGUAGGGGUAAAAUCCGUAGAUAUCACUAGGAAUACCUAAAGCGAAGGCGAUCUCCUGGAACAUUACUGACGCUAAGGCGUGAAAGCGUGGGGAGCAAACAGGAUUAGAUACCCCUGUAGUC
rnacentral:rRNA from 1 species